GAUGAUUCUCAAUCUAUGCAUGAUGCCAUAUGGGCUUCAAGACCAAGACAGCAUUAUUCCCCUGCUCAAACAAAUGCACUCCAUGUUUUGUUUUGCAAAAUUUGACCUAGAUUAAAUGUACAUUGGCCAAAACAUCUAAGUCUUCCCAAGGCAAUGGUUAUGGGCUAAAUUCUAAAGAAUGCAUCUCUGUGUGUGUUUGUGUGGGGGUGUGUGUGGUGGCGUGUGGUGAGUGUAACACAUGCACAAAAUUCACUCCUGAAGAGACAACUUAGGCAUGACCACAUCUUUCCUGUGUUCCAGGUGUCCCCAUCUUUCCUCUCUGGUCCCAUUUAAACUCUGGGUUUAAUUUGAUCUUCAUACGGACUGUGUCCCUCCACUAGCAAACGUGGAACAACUUGAUGCGUCUAGUGCUGUGCUGAGCAUUCAGGCUAAUAGUCUGGCCAGCUUGGGGCAGACAUCCUCAUGAGCAAACAUCGAUUAUAGAAUACUAAAAAAGAUACAAGAGAACUCAGUGGGGUUAUUAUGGAAAUGGAAACAACAAACCAAAAGAAAUUUCAGGUCAAGGUAAUGUAACUAACUGGUUAAUGUGUACCUUUCAAAACUGCAUUGUUUUCUUCCUAAGAGCUAGUUGGCAGUGUGUAUUAAAUGUUUUUAAAAUUCUGAAUAAAUCUGAUGAAGCACUUCCAUUUCAAGAAAAUUCCCUUAAGGAAAUGUCAAUGGACAUGUGUAAAGAUUUCUCACCCCAAAAAUGUCUAUCAUAGUUUUUUUUCUGGUAUAAUAAGAGCAAAGGAGUAAACUUAACUAGCCAAUUUCAUGACAGUGUUGAGAUACAUACAUUGUAUAAUGGAAGAUUUGCAGUGAUUAAAAAUAAGUUGGUAAGGCCAGGCACAGUGGCUCAUGCCUGUAAUCCCAGCACUUUGGAAGGCCAAGGCAGGCAGAUCACUAGAGGUCAGGAGUUCGAGACCAGCCUGGUCAGCAUGGUGAAACCCCAUCUCUACUAAAAAUACAAAAAUGAGCCAGGCGUGGUGGCAUGCUCCUGUAAUCCAGCUACUUGGGAGGCUGAGGCAGGAGAAUUGCUUGAACUGGGGAGGCAGAAUUUGCAGUGCGCCGAAAUUGUGCUACUGCACUCCAGCCUGGGUGACAGAGCAAGACUCCAUCUCAAAUAAUAAUAAUAACUUGGUAAGGAAUCAGUAAUGACAUGUAAUGGGGUACACACCUGCUACUCCAAGUGUGUUCCCGCGACCGGCAGCAUGUGCUUCCCAGGAACUUGUUAGACAUGCAGAAUUCCAGGUCCCACCCAGACCUACUGAAUAGGAAUCUGCAUUUUAACAAAGUUCCCCAAAUGAUUUCUACAUGCAUUACCAUUUGAGAAGCACUGGCAUAUGCUGUAUUUUUUUAAGCAAAAGAAAAAUAUGUAUAUUAUGAUUCCAUUUUUGACUCUCUCAAGUAUGACUACAUGGAUAGAAGAAAAGAGUCGAUGGAUAUACAUGAAAAUGUAAGCAGUAAUGAUCUUGGGGUGCUGUACUUUUUAUGUUCUUCUUUUAUUCUAAAUUUUC
rnacentral:lncRNA from 1 species